UAUUUCAACCUUCAGAUCAGUUACAUCAACUCAACUAGUCCAAAAAGCAUAAAUAUCAAAAAAAGAAAAUCUGCUCCAGUCUCGACCAUAACCAACAUUUUCUGUAAUUUUCUCCUUUUCCUACACAAAUCUUCCAAGUAUAAAGUUGUUCUAUCCAAUGUCUAUCUAUGCACCUAGACUUGCUACUAAGGACAUCAAAAAUUCUCACUUUGCUUUCCAUCUGUAUUUGUUUGACCAGCACCUGCAUCCUCGGUACUUUCUGGUCCCAGAGUGCAUCAUUCCUGGCACUCUAAAUGUGAUAAAUCAAUGCAGCCAAAAUUGUCCAGAUGAGCCCCCUGCUAAUUCUCCUUUUUUCUCUCCUAGCCAAUCUUUUCCAUAGUCCGUCCAAGUUAGUAUUGCAGCUACCUAUUUGUAUCAGUUCUAAAAUCUUUUGCGGGCAUUUGAUUGAAUAAGUACUCUAAAAAAAAGAUGCUCCAUGGUUUCGGGAUAGUUGUCACAUAGCAAGCAAGUUGUAUUAAUUCUCUUGAAUCUAGUUUUACACAUUAAUGGUUCCAUCACUUUCCAUAGUUGUUGAAAAUGUUCUCUUUCCUUAAACUAAUUUUUGACUGCAGGAUGUUAAGGAACUGCAAUAUAUCUGGGAAGAUUCCUUCUUACAUAGCUUAUAUGCCUUAACUGAAAAUUCUAUAAGUUUGCCGCCUACCUUCAGUCCUUUUUGUUUUCCUUAUAUUUGAUAUUCCUUUCUUUCUCCUUUCCAUACACGUUGUUUUAACAAAAUCAUGCAUUCCAUAUAUGCGGGCCUUCUCUUUUAUUGUCUCGCAAAUGCUUAGUGUUUAGACUAGGAAACAGAAGGAAGAUUAUUGAAAUUGAGUUUUAAUUAAAUGUUAACAUCUUUAUAGUUCUUUUCUGAAUACCAUCUACAGGAGAACUUAUUUCCAAGAGGAAAAGGGAAAACAAAAAACUUAAGAAAAGAAUGAAGAUGCAGAAAUUCUAUUUCAGAUGAUACAACAACAUUAGUGACCCCUUAAUUGCACAAGUUUAUGUAUGGUUUCUACUAUGCAUAUGCUUCUAGGGGUUGAUCGUCUUCAUUCAGUCUAGGAGAUUAAAAGAAUUUUCUUGGCUCACUUGACAUUGAAAUAUGGCUUUGUUAGCAUUUAAGCUCCGUCUCACCGGGAAUUUCAACCUAGCCGAAAUUCUUUCACUACGUUUAUCUUAGAUAGAUUCUUCAUUCUAUAGAUCUAUAGAUCUCAAAUUGGUAAAGUAUUGUUUCUGGAUUGAUUAUGUUUUUCCUUCGUGGCAAAGAUCUAAGCUUCAACAUGCUUGAAGAACAGAUCCCGGAUCUGGAGAACCUUGACAGACUCGAGGUAUUGUACCUGAAAAGCAAUCGACUUACUGGACCAAUUCAAGAUUGGAUCAGAAAUAGAAAUUCCAAAAACUUUUUAUGCAGGCAUUUGCUUGAAUAAGUACACUCAGAAAAGAGAUGCUCUGUGGUUUCGGGAUAGCUGUCACAUUGCAAUCAAGUUGUAUUUUGGCAUAAUCCCAUAUGAGCUAGCUUUACUCUCUUGAUACAGGUGUCACGGGCUCUAGACCAUUUACUAGAAGUCAAGCUUGGGAACUACAAAGGCUUCAAGGCGUUUUUAUGAAAAUGGACGCGGUUGAGCUUGCUGCAAACUCUCCCAAGGGAGUGUAUGUAUUGACAUGUGGGGGCUGACAUUAGGGGCCCAAAAUACACCCCCAAGGAAGCCCCAAACACUCCACACCCUCCCCUUUUAUUAAGGGCAAAAGGGUCCUUUUGCCAUCCUUUUUGUUGAGGACUAUUUAAGGUGUUUCUUUAGUCUUUUUCUCUUAGUUAGCUUAUUCUUAAAAAUCACUUGUAACAUUGAACAUCAUCUUCCUCUCAAGAAGAGAGUAGACCACCAUCUGACACCACAAGAAAUGGUUUCUUCUUAUGUUGUGUGUAUCGGCUGAAAAUGAGAGUGCUUGAGGGAACCGAGCUCCUCUUGUGUUCCAUAAGAACAUGGUGCUUGUGAACUUAUUUUUUAGAGGUUUUAGAGUAGUAAUACACUCUUUAGUUGCUGAA